UCGCUGUGAUGACUUGAAAUCCAUCAUUCGCAGUCUCAACCAGAUACCUUUGGGUACAUGUUGGGCUAUGACCUUCCUUGGAAGUCUGAGCGA
rnacentral:snoRNA from 1 species